rnacentral:rRNA from 1 species
AGAUUGAACGCUGGCGGCAUGCCUAACACAUGCAAGUCGAACGGGAGUAGCAAUACUCUAGUGGCGGACGGGUGAGGAAUACGUAGGAAUUUGCCCUUAAGUGGGGGAUAACCCGGGGAAACCCGGAUUAAUACCGCAUGACCUCGAAAGAGCAAAGUGGGGGAUCGCAAGACCUCACGCUUUUGGAGAAGCCUACGUCGGAUUAGCUAGUUGGUGAGGUAAUGGCUCACCAAGGCGACGAUCCGUAACUGGUCUGAGAGGAUGAUCAGUCGCACCGGAACUGAGACACGGUCCGGACUCCUACGGGAGGCAGCAGUGGGGAAUAUUGGACAAUGGGCGCAAGCCUGAUCCAGCAAUGCCGCGUGUGUGAAGAAGGCCUUCGGGUUGUAAAGCACUUUAAGUU